rnacentral:hammerhead_ribozyme from 1 species
AUCUAGCUGACGGGUCCCAAAAAGGACGAAACGCGUGUCCUGGAU